GACGAACGCUGGCGGCGUGCUUAACACAUGCAAGUCGAACGGAGUGUAGCAAUACACUUAGUGGCGGACGGGUGAGUAACACGUGAGCAACCUGCCCUAUACAACGGGAUAACACAGAGAAAUUUGUGCUAAUACGGUAUAAGACCACACUGCGGCAUCGCAGAGGGGUAAAAGCUGAGGCGGUAUAGGAGGGGCUCGCGGCCCAUUAGAUAGUUGGUGAGGUAACGGCCCACCAAGGCGACGAUCGGUAGCCGGACUGAGAGGUUGAACGGCCACAUUGGGACUGAGACACGGCCCAG
rnacentral:rRNA from 1 species